rnacentral:rRNA from 1 species
AGAUUUUGAUCCUGGCUCAGGACGAACGCUGGCGGCUUGCCUAAUACAUGCUAGUCCAGCGGACCUUUCGGGGUCACCGGCGGACGGCGUGAGUAACACGUGGGCAAUCUGCCCGAUACUCUGGGAUAACGCUUGGAAACAGAUGUGCUAUUGCCGGAUCGGUCCCCUUGGCACCCUGGCCCAAAAGGAAAAGACACGUUCACCUCCGUGUCUGAUGAUCCCACUUCCCUUUACCUAUGUGGUGACGUAACGCCCCACCAAUGCGACAAUACCUUGCCCACCUGAUAUGGUGACCGGUCGCUCUGGGACUGAUACACGGCCCUUACUCCUACGGGAGGCACCGAUAGGCAAUCUUCCAUAAUACGCGAAAUCCUGAUGAAUCACCGACUCGUAGAAUGAUGAAGGCCUUCAUGGUUGUAAAACUC